rnacentral:sRNA from 1 species
AUUCCCCUCCCCUCCCCUCCCUCCCCUUCCCCUCUCUAGAGGGGCGGCGGCCGGCCAGGCGGGAGGGGCGGCAGCCAAGCGAGCUGGCGCGGCGGCCUGCGCGUGCAGAGGCCGAGAGGGCAGGGGCAGGGAGGGCAGCUGAGUUAUGAGCGCGCGGAGGGGGAGGCCGGUGGCGCCCUCCCCUCUCUGGGUCGGCGCGCGGAGGCGGGAGCCGGCGACGCCCUCCCCUCUCCCGGCAGCGCCGGAUUUGUUUUUUGUUUUUUUUUCAAUCUGUGAUUUAUUGGAUCUGAUCUGUGAUAUACGUGAUAUUGGAUCUGAUCUGUGAUGUAUUUGAGUUGUGAUGUAUUUUUUUUAGGAUUUGUGAUGUAUUUUUUGUUUGAGAAUUUGUGAUGUGAUGUAUUUGUGAUAUGUGAUGUUAUUUGAGUUGUGAUGUAUUUUUUCUAAGAUCUGUGAUGCUACUUAAAUUUGUGG